rnacentral:rRNA from 1 species
CUACGGGUUGCUGCAGUAAGGAAUAUUGGGCAAUGGACGCAAGUCUGACCCAGCCAUGCCGCGUGCAGGAUGACAGCCCUACGGGUUGUAAACUGCUUUUAUACGGGAAAAAACCCCUGCACGAGUUGCGGGGUUGAUGGUACCGUAAGAAUAAGCAUCGGCUAACUCCGUGCCAGCAGCCGCGGUAAUACGGAGGAUGCAAGCGUUAUCCGGAUUCAUUGGGUUUAAAGGGUGCGUAGGCGGAAUGAUAAGUCAGUGGUGAAAUCCUACAGCUUAACUGUAGAACUGCCAUUGAUACUGUUGUUCUUGAGUACAUUUGAAGUGGGCGGAAUGUGUCAUGUAGCGGUGAAAUGCAUAGAGAUGACACAGAACACCGAUCGCGAAGGCAGCUCACUAAACUGUAACUGACGCUGAGGCACGAAAGCGUGGGGAUCAAACAGGAUUAGAUACCCCCGUAGUC